CGGGGGGGGGGGGGGGCUGGCGGGCGGGCCGCACAUGCAAAUGAGCCGGGCGCCGGGGCGGGGCGCAGGAAGCCGGGGCGGGCCGGGUCCCGCGCCCAGGAAAGCCCCGCGCGGCGCUGGGCAGGGCCGGGCGGCGCAGGGUCCCCCACUUCCCGCUCUGGGAGCCGACAGCGAAUGGAGCCGGAGCGCGCAGGUGCCCUGGGAUCUCCUCAUGGGGUGGCUUCGCCCUGGGCUCGCGCUCCCCGUGAGCUGCCUGAUCCUGGUGUGGGCAGCGGGCUCAGGUAAGUCAGCACCUCGCAUUCAUUCAACAAACAUUUAUUGAGGUGCCCGGUGCUUGGCAUGCAUCGUGGCACAGGACAGUGACCCCCGUCCCCUUGAGUGGGUGGGGCAGGCGUGGCAACCGGUCCCUCUUGUGUGUUGAUUUUAUAGGCCAUUGAUUUUCAAAGACUAUUUCGAUGCGUGCUAUGAAAGACAGCUUAGGACAGACUAAGGGGGUGGGGACAGCAGGAUGAGGUGCAGAGGGGAGGAGGGCAGGCAUUUGGUUUAUAAAAUGGGGUGGUCAGGAAAGGCUUCCCUGAGGUGACACUUGAGCAAAGGAGGGGAGGGGGCAGCCACGCAGAUGUGGAGGGAACCUCCUCUCCAGGUGGGGAGGAAUACCGGCGCGGGGGCGCAGGGGCGCAGGGGCGCAGAGGCCGAGGCAGGGGCCAGCGGGGAGGCUGGGGGGGGGUGGAGUGAGCAGGAGGGAGAGGUGAGGCCCCCAAGCAGCGGGGCAGCAGCCAAGCAGGACUCUGCAGGGGAUUUUUCCGAAUAAAAAUAAGUUUAAUAAAAUACAAUUGAAAAAUAUGGGAGCAGUUUGACAGUACAGGAAAUUGAUCAAGAAAUUAAAUUGAGUUAAGUGUGCUCUGGAACAUAUUUUCUUAAUAAAAACUCAUCUGGGUUAAAUAUAUAUAAUUUUUUAUUAGAGAAGUUGUAGGUUUAUAGCACAAUCGUGCAUAAAAUAUAGGAUUCCCAUAUACGAUUCCUAUUAAUACCUUACACUGAUGUGAUACAUUUGUUACAAUUGAUGAAAGCACAUUUUAAUAAUUGUGCUGUUAACUGUAAUCCAUAGUUUAAUUUAGGAUUCACUGCCUAUGUAGUGUAGUUCUAUGUAUUUAAAAAAUUUUAUUAGACGCAGACAGGACAAAAGAACACGCAGCAAAUAGACACAGAGAACAGACAACUGGGGUGGGGGGUAAGGGGAGAGAAAUAAAUUAAAAAAUCUUUAAAAAAA
rnacentral:lncRNA from 1 species